GGGGACGUUUUGGAUUUUGACAGAAUGUUUGAUGGAAGCGGGUUGCGAGUCCGAGAGCUGUUCUCGGUUAUCAACGAGCAAAACAAAUUAAGUGCUAACAAUAAUGUUAUAGCAGCUGAUUUCUCAAGAGCAAGAGCUCUUGCUGCGUAGAUUAAGUUCCGCAGUUCAGCCUUGAUAUUAGUCCAGCUUGCCGAUUAAUAUUGAGCCACCAUGCAAGUUGCAGUACGGUAAUGACUGUAGCCGUAUCAAGAUAACAGUUGGAGUGCGUAUCACGAUAAAAGACUUUGGCUAAAUUAUAAGGUUUUUCAUUUCCCGAUUUAGUUGAGCAAAUAAUGAAUACACUCGUAGAGAUUUGUUUUUAUCCUUUUUGGACGCGGGUUCGACUCCCGCCGUUUCCACA
rnacentral:tmRNA from 1 species